CGUCCAUUCAUUCAAGGCCGACGUAUGUUUCUUAGAGGUCGUUAAACCGGGUGGUUUCACUUCAAAGUCGAGGAUCAAUGGAUGUUGUUUUGUCACGACUUUUCUCAAGGACAGCAUCAAGCGUAAACAGAAAAUAAAAUCUGAUGUCGAGAGAUGUGCGAAGGAAAGAGUAAAGGAGAGCAUCUGAUAAGGAGAAUAUCAAGCAUAGAAUGAGAACUUCUCGAGAUAGAUAAAUUCAGGGGAGGAAAGGAAAACUGGAAAAAAUCU